UUUUAAAUUCCAUUGCCUUGAUGCCUACUGGAAACACAAAAAUAUACACACUUUUUUAUGCCCUUUUUAACUCAAAUUCAUGCAAAUUCAUAGUAUUUCGUGUCGAAAAAUAUAUAAUGAUUAUAAAAUAAUUAAAUUGUACUUAAAUUAUUAACAUUAUAAUAAAUUCUAGUUAAUUUUGAUCAUUUUUGACAGAUUUGCACAAAGGGCGAAAAUUGACUCGACAGACACUAUUAGAAGCACAAAACCGAGAAGUGAUUUUUGAAGCAUCAAUGCGA
rnacentral:lncRNA from 1 species